rnacentral:rRNA from 1 species
AAUCCAUAGGUUAAUGAGGCGAACCGGGGGAACUGAAACAUCUAAGUACCCCGAGGAAAAGAAAUCAACCGAGAUUCCCCCAGUAGCGGCGAGCGAACGGGGAGGAGCCCAGAGCCUGAAUCAGCAUGUGUGUUAGUGGAAGCGUCUGGAAAGGCGCGCGAUACAGGGUGAGAGCCCCGUACACAAAAGCGCACGUGCUGUGAGCUCGAUGAGUAGGGCGGGACACGUGGUAUCCUGUCUGAAUAUGGGGGGACCAUCCUCCAAGGCUAAAUACUCCUGACUGACCGAUAGUGAACCAGUACCGUGAGGGAAAGGCGAAAAGAACCCCGGCGAGGGGAGUGAAACAGAACCUGAAACCGUGUACGUACAAGCAGUGGGAGCCCCACCACCAAAGCGUUUCGCUUUGCGUGGUGCGCAAAAUGCGUAACGACAGCACGAUUGCGGUUAACGGAGCGUAAGCGACGUUCAACACAAAAAUCAGGCAGUGGAGCGUUUUGGGGUGGGGUGACUGCGUACCUUUUGUAUAAUGGGUCAGCGACUUAUAUUCUGUAGCAAGGUUAACCGCAUAGGGGAGC